UACGUAGGGGGCAAGCGUUGUCCGGAUUUAUUGGGCGUAAAGAGCGUGUAGGCGGCCAGACAGGUCCGUUGUGAAAACUCGAGGCUCAACCUCGAGACGCCGAUGGAAACCGUCUGGCUAGAGUCCGGAAGAGGAGAGUGGAAUUCCCGGUGUAGCGGUGAAAUGCGCAGAUAUCGGGAAGAACACCCGUGGCUAAGGCGGCUCUCUGGGACGGUACUGACGCUGAGACGCGAAAGCGUGGGGAGCGAACAGG
rnacentral:rRNA from 1 species